UGACAACCAUUGUGACUGCCUAGCAACUUC
rnacentral:piRNA from 1 species